CGAGCAGUAGCUCAGUGGUAGAGGUCCCGCUUCGCAUGCGGGAAGACCGUGAUUCGAUUCCCGGCUGCUUAC
rnacentral:tRNA from 1 species